rnacentral:rRNA from 1 species
AAUCAACGCUGGCGGCGUGCCUCAGACAUGCAAGUCGAACGAUUAAAGCUCUCUUCGGAGAGUGUAUAGAGUGGCGCACGGGUGAGUAACACGUAAGUAAUCUACCUUUGAGUGGGGAAUAACAGUCGGAAACGGCUGCUAAUACCGCAUAACGCAGCGGCACCGCAAGGUGACAGUUGUUAAAGGAGCAAUCCGCUUAAAGAGGAGCUUGCGGCAGAUUAGCUUGUUGGUAAGGUAACGGCUUACCAAGGCUACGAUCUGUAUCCGGUCUAAGAGGACGGUCGGACACACUGACACUGAAUAACGGGU